rnacentral:rRNA from 1 species
GCUACGGGUGGCAGCAGUGAGGAAUAUUGGUCAAUGGGCGAGAGCCUGAACCAGCCAAGUCGCGUGAAGGAUGACGGCCCUACGGGUUGUAAACUUCUUUUGUCAGGGAUCAAUUGAGUCCACGUGUGGUCUUAGCGAGAGUACCUGAAGAAAAAGCAUCGGCUAACUCCGUGCCAGCAGCCGCGGUAAUACGUAGGUGGCAAGCGUUGUCCGGGAUUACGGGGUGUAAAGGGAGCGUAGGCGGGAUGUCAAGUCAGAAGUGAAAAUUAUGGGGUCAACUCAUAACCUGCUUUUGAAACUGAUAUUCGUGAGUGAAGUAGAGGCAAGCGGAAUUAAUAGUGUAGCGGUGAAAUGCGUAGAUAUUAGGAGGAACACCAGUGGCGAAGGCGGCUUGCUGGGCUUUUACUGACGCUGAGGCUCGAAAGCGUGGGGAGCAAACAGGAUUAGAUACCCUAGUAGUC